ensembl:snRNA U6 U6 spliceosomal RNA
GUGCCCAAUUCAGCAGCUCAUAAGCUAAAAUUGGAAUGAUACAGAAAAGAUUAGCAUGGCCCCUGCACAAGGAUGAUACACAAAUUUGUGGAGCAUUCCAUUUAAAA